GACGAACGCUGGCGGCGUGCUUAACACAUGCAAGUCGAGCGGUAAGGCCCUUUCGGGGGUACGACGAGCGGCGAACGGGUGAGUAACACGUGGGUGACCUGCCCUUACGCUCUGGGAUAAGCCUGGGAAACGUGGGUCGUAAUACCGGAUAUGACUCCAUGACGCAUGUUGUGGGGUGGAAAGCCUUGUGCGGCUAGGGAUGGGCCUGCGGCCUAUCAGCUUGUUGGUGGGGUGAUGGCCUACCAAGGCGACGACGGGUAGCCGGCCUGAGAGGGCGACCGGCCACACUGGGACUGAGACACGGCCCAGACUCCUACGGGAGGCAGCAGUGGGGAAUCUUGCGCAAUGGGCGAAAGCCUGACGCAGCGACGCCGCGUGGGGA
rnacentral:rRNA from 1 species